rnacentral:rRNA from 1 species
UCUUUUCCUUUUGUGCCCGCAGCCGCGGUAAUACGUAGGGGGCAAGCGUUAUCCGGAUUUACUGGGUGUAAAGGGAGCGUAGACGGCACGGCAAGCCAGAUGUGAAAGCCCGGGGCUCAACCCCGGGACUGCAUUUGGAACUGCUGAGCUAGAGUGUCGGAGAGGCAAGUGGAAUUCCUAGUGUAGCGGUGAAAUGCGUAGAUAUUAGGAGGAACACCAGUGGCGAAGGCGGCUUGCUGGACGAUGACUGACGUUGAGGCUCGAAAGCGUGGGGAGCAAACAGG